UACAGAGGGGGCAAGCGUUGUUCGGAAUCACUGGGCGUAAAGCGCACGUAGGCGGCUUGCUAAGUCAGGGGUGAAAUCCUGGAGCUCAACUCCAGAACUGCCUUUGAUACUGGCGAUCUCGAGUCCGGGAGAGGUGAGUGGAACUGCGAGUGUAGAGGUGAAAUUCGUAGAUAUUCGCAAGAACACCAGUGGCGAAGGCGGCUCACUGGCCCGGUACUGACGCUGAGGCACGAAAGCGUGGGGAGCGAACAGG
rnacentral:rRNA from 1 species